rnacentral:sRNA from 1 species
CUGCCAUUCCCCACACUGCACUGGAUGACGCAUCUAUAGUUUUGGCUCCAGGCCAUUUCCGAUUACCCAGAAAACAGAUCAAUUUCUUGUUUUCUUUGGAAUUUCCACCCAGCUCACACUGUCUUGUAAGGGUAGACAGACAAAUAAAAUUUCUUGUUGAUAGUGUGUGAUUCAAUAAUAAAAUCAAGAGAAAUUCUCAGAAAAACGUAGUCCUCAUGAAAAUACCCUAGUCGAUCGUGCCUAACAAGGCUGGAUUCUGGGCACCGAAUGUUGAGCUGUUUAUGAGUGUUAUAUCCACGUGUGCACCUGACAGACUGUCUCUCGGAGGAGUAACAAAUUGGAUUUUUCAAGAGCAGGAGAGAGCUGAAAACUCCUUCUAACAAACAAAGACUAAGAGCCUUGGAAGAGUUUAUAGUACUUGUCAUCUCAACAAACCAAAGAAUCUGCUAGACUGAAUAGAUGUAAUAUCCUGUUGAUGGAGGCGUGGCCAGCAGAUUUGUGAUUCUUCUAACAAGGGC